UGCGGGUUCGUUCAAUGGUAGGACAUAUCACUUUGACUGAUAGAAUAGUAGUUCGACUCUACUACCCGUAACCA
rnacentral:tRNA from 2 species